UGGGGAAUAUUGGACAAUGGGCGAAAGCCUGAUCCAGCCAUGCCGCGUGUGUGAAGAAGGUCUUCGGAUUGUAAAGCACUUUAAGUUGGGAGGAAGGGCAGUAAGCUAAUACCUUGCUGUUUUGACGUUACCGACAGAAUAAGCACCGGCUAACUCUGUGCAG
rnacentral:rRNA from 1 species